UUUAACUGGCAUUUAGAUGCGUGCCUGCAGCACCCUCAAGAAUGACAAUAUUUGACCAUCUGUCUCCCGCCCAGCAAGCUCUCCAUGCUUCGAAACAGUAGCAUCCCGUUCAGGGCCAGCGAUUUGGAGCAGAGAGAAGCCGAAAGAGAUGCAAAAGGAGAGACUGACCCUUGGGGAGGAAGAGGGAGUCUCUUCUCCCCUUUUCUGUUGUCCUUUGGGGGUGGGUGGGCAAUCGGGGGGCCUGGGAAGAGGAGCCGAGAUGGGGUGUCACUAGCCAAAGGUGGCACAUGGAGGCUGGAGGGACCUCGCGUCUCAGCCCCGUGGAGACGGCUCUGUUGUUGUCUCUUGCAGCCUUCCCGCCUUCUUGUCCUUGGGCUCUGUGCCCAAUGCUUGCUGUCAGCACCUCCUCCCUGAGCCAGCGCCUGGCAAACGCAGCUAUGAGAUCAUGGGGCUGGAGCCCUGAGCAGGAGGCAGUAGGUCUCCCUGCGGCCGGCAGGAGGGAUUCCAGCAACAAGGAGAACUUCCAGCUCUGUCUCAGUGUUCCCAGCUUUCUCCACACCCUAGGGGAGCAGCCGGAAUGUCCCUCUCCUCCUGAAGAGUCCUCCUGGGAUGAUUGUGCCUGAGGCAGGCUCUGUCUCUUCAGCUGAGCGGGGGCUGCGGACUGGGCAGCGGCCCCUGGAGGUGAGGCUGGGGAUUGCGGCUUCGUACCGGCUUUGGCUCCCUGCUGGCUCACGUUCUCACCCCAGGCAUUCUGAAAGUCACACUUGUUUGUGUAGGGUGUGCCUGAGUAUGUGAAGGUGUGUGGAGACUUGGGCGAGUGUGUCUGGUGUGGGUGUGUGAUUGGAGCGUGUCUAUGUCUGUGUAGAGUGUGUACACGGGUGUGCGUGUGUGUGAAUGGAAUGCGGGCUCCCGCAGGCUGUUGCCCGCGUGUAAGCCCCUUGUAUACUGGUGCGUGUGCACGCUCCAGAGCACGUGUGACAGUGGAAAGGCACAUGUUUCUGUGGGUACCUGGAGGAGCUUGAGGGCUCUGACAGGUAGGAGCUUGUCUGUGCCUGGCGACGCCAGUGAGCAUGGGAGUAGCAUGAGGACACGUGUGUGUGUGUGUGUGUGUGUGUGUGUGUGUGUGUGUGUGUGUGUGUGGCUGUGAGCCCGUGCACGGGGCUGCUUACAGUGUGCACCUGGGUGUCCAAGAUGGACUGGCUGCCUGUGAGGUAGGUUUGUGGGUACACGUUAUCACUGCAGUGUGGAGGAUAGGAGACCUCCAGAAGGGUGACUGUUUGGAUCUGUAGUGCCAUAGACACAUGUGAGCAUCAAGGAGGGCGAGGGGGAAGCUGUCUCUGUGUACGUGCGGAGCAACUCCUCCUAGGCCAGUGGUGGGGCUGGGCUGAAAGGGGAAGUAGUGAUUUAUAAGCUUUUAAAGAAAUGCCUCCACCCCCAGUUGGGCCCCAGUUAUAGUGAGUCCCACGCAUCACUCAGGCCUGACAUCAUCCAGGCACCUGAAACCACAGGAAUGAGGAGAGACUGCCUCCCCGACCUGCCCACCCGCCUCAGGCUGAUGCCUGGGAGAGCAAGCAUGUUUCCUUCUCUGAAGAACGUACUGGGUGCAGGGACCCACUGCCCAGCUGAUGCCCCCGUCCCAACCAGAGAUCCCUCCCCGGGCGCCGAGGCAGCAUAUGCUGACAGGGUGUGGGAUACCUGUGGGACACCUUGGUGGACCUGGGGUCCAGGAACCCCUUUCCCAGCCAAGCCAGGCUCCUCCAGGAGAGCUGGGUGGGCCUCCUACAGGCUGCCCUCAGGGACUGAGUGGCCAU